rnacentral:rRNA from 1 species
AGAGUUUGAUCCUGGCUCAGGACGAACGCUGGCGGCGUGCCUAACACAUGCAAGUCGAGCGAGGAACUUCGGUUCCUAGCGGCGGACGGGUGAGUAACACGUGGGUAACCUGCCUCAAAGAGGGGGAUAGCCUCCCGAAAGGGAGAUUAAUACCGCAUAACAUUAAAUUACCGCAUGGUAGUUUAAUUAAAGGAGUAAUCCGCUUUGAGAUGGACCCGCGGCGCAUUAGCUAGUUGGUGAGGUAACGGCUCACCAAGGCCACGAUGCGUAGCCGACCUGAGAGGGUGAUCGGCCACAUUGGAACUGAGAUACGGUCCAGACUCCUACGGGAGGCAGCAGUGGGGAAUAUUGCACAAUGGGCGAAAGCCUGAUGCAGCAACGCCGCGUGAGUGAUGAAGGCCUUCGGGUUGUAAAGCUCUGUCUUUGGGGACGAUUAUGACGGUACCCAAGGAGGAAGCCACGGCUAACUACGUGCCAGCAGCCGCGGUAAUACGUAGGUGGCAAGCGUUGUCCGGAUUUACUGGGCGUAAAGGAUGCGUAGGCGGAUAUUUAAGUCAGAUGUGAAAUACCCGAGCUUAACUUGGGGUGCUGCAUUUGAAACUGGAUAUCUAGAGUGUGGGAGAGGAAAGUGGAAUUCCUAGUGUAGCGGUGAAAUGCGUAGAGAUUAGGAAGAACACCAGUGGCGAAGGCGACUUUCUGGACCAUAACUGACGCUGAGGCAUGAAAGCGUGGGGAGCAAACAGGAUUAGAUACCCUGGUAGUCCACGCCGUAAACGAUGGGUACUAGGUGUAGGGGGUAU